UACAGAGGGGGCAAGCGUUGUUCGGAUUCAUUGGGCGUAAAGGGUGCGUAGGCGGCGCGGUAAGUCGGGUGUGAAAUUUCGAGGCUUAACUUCGAAACUGCAUUCGAUACUGCCGUGCUUGAGGACUGGAGAGGAGACUGGAAUUUACGGUGUAGCGGUGAAAUGCGUAGAUAUCGUAAGGAAGACCAGUGGCGAAGGCGGGUCUCUGGACAGUUCCUGACGCUGAGGCACGAAGGCCAGGGGAGCAAACGGG
rnacentral:rRNA from 1 species